GUCCUUAGUUACCAGCACGUUAUGGUGGGCGACUCUAAGGAGGACUGCCGGUGGACAAACCGGAGGAAGGUGGGGAGUGACGUCAAGUCAUCAUGGCCCUUACGGCCUGGGCUACACACGUGCUACAAUGGUCGGUACAAAGGGUUGCCAAGCCGCGAGGUGGAGCUAAUCCCAUAAAACCGAUCGUAGUCCGGAUCGCAGUCUGCAACUCGACUGCGUGAAGUCGGAAUCGCUAGUAAUCGUGAAUCAGAAUGUCACGGUGAAUACGUUCCCGGGCCUU
rnacentral:rRNA from 2 species